rnacentral:rRNA from 1 species
GACGAACGCUGGCGGCGUGCCUAAUACAUGCAAGUAGAACGCAGUUGCGAACGGGUGAGUAACGCGUAGGUAACUGCCUCAUAGCGGGGGAUAACUAUUGGAAACGAUAGCUAAUACCGCAUAUUGUGAGAUGGACCUGCGUUGUAUUAGCUAGUUGGUGAGGUUAUGGCUCACCAAGGCGACGAUACAUAGCCGACCUGAGAGGGUGAUCCGCCACAAUGGGACUGGGACACGGCCCAGACUCCUUCGGGAGGCAGCAGGUGGGAAUCUUCGCCAAUUGGCGGAAGUCUUACCGAGCAAAGCCGCGUGAGUUAAUAAGGUUUUCGGGGCUUAAAGCUCUGUUGUGAGAGAAGCGUUAACUAACCAGAAAGGGACGGCUAACUACGUGCCAGCAGCCGCGGUAAUUC